UACGGAGGGUGCAAGCGUUAAUCGGAAUUACUGGGCGUAAAGCGUGCGUAGGCGGUUCGUUAAGUCUGCUGUGAAAGCCCCGGGCUCAACCUGGGAAUGGCAGUGGAUACUGGCGAGCUAGAGUGUGAUAGAGGAUGGUGGAAUUCCCGGUGUAGCGGUGAAAUGCGUAGAGAUCGGGAGGAACAUCAGUGGCGAAGGCGGCCAUCUGGAUCAACACUGACGCUGAGGCACGAAAGCGUGGGGAGCAAACGGG
rnacentral:rRNA from 1 species